GUGCCAGCAGCCGCGGUAAGACGGAGGAGGCAAGCGUUAUCCGGAAUUAUUGGGCGUAAAGGGUCCGCAGGUGGCAGUUCAAGUCUGCAGUCAAAGGUCGGGGCUCAACCCCGGAAAGGCUGUGGAAACUGAACAGCUAGAGUACGGUAGGGGCAGAGGGAAUUCCCGGUGUAGCGGUGAAAUGCGUAGAGAUCGGGAAGAACAUCGGUGGCGAACGCGCUCUACUGGAGAGCAACUGACACUCAGGGACGAAAGCUAGGGGAGCGAAUGGGAUUAGAUACCCCAGUAGUCCUAGCCGUAAACGAUGGAUACUAGGCGUGGCUCGUAUCGACCCGAGCCGUGCCGUAGCUAACGCGUUAAGUAUCCCGCCUGGGGAGUACGCACGCAAGUGUGAAACUUAAAUGAAUUGACGGGG
rnacentral:rRNA from 1 species